CGGGACGGGUGAGUAAUGUCUGGGAAACUGCUGAUGGAGGGGGGUAACUACUGGAAACGGUAGCUAAUACCGCAUAACGUCGCAAGACCAAAGAGGGGGACCUUCGGGCCUCUUGCCAUCGGAUGUGCCCAGAUGGGAUUAGCUAGUAGGUGGGGUAACGGCUCACCUAGGCGACGAUCCCUAGCUGGUCUGAGAGGAUGACCAGCCACACUGGAACUGAGACACGGUCCAG
rnacentral:rRNA from 1 species